CUGAACUGUCAACACGAGUUGUUGCUGGUCUCCGAGAGGGGGCAUGUGCACGCUCUGUUUACACACCCACUCACACCUGUGCACCCUCUGUAGCUCUGUGGUGCGGGGGACCCUGUCCUCCCGCUGUGGUUCUACGUCUUUACACACACACAGUGAUAAAGUCUCAUGGAAUGUAUGUAGCGUUUAACGCAAUAUAAUA
rnacentral:misc_RNA from 1 species